rnacentral:lncRNA from 1 species
GUUUCGGGGUUUAGGGUUUAGAGUUGAUGUUUCAUGGUUUAGGGUUUAUAGUUGAUGAUUUAGGGUUUAAAGUUGAUGAUUUAAGAUUUAAAAUUGAUGUUUUAAGUUUAGAUUUAGGGUUUAGGGUUUACGUUUAGGGUUUAGAGUUGAUGUUUUAAGUUUAGAUUAGUUAACAAUAUGCUCUUUUUUUCAAAGGUAAUGAGAAGGUUAUAAAUGUAUUUUACCCUUCAUUAAAGAUGAGGGUAAAAGUGGUUAGUUUAAACAUGAAAAGUGGUAUUUUGAAAAUAGUAUUUUUUGCAAUUUCUCCUAAGGUUUGGAUUAGUUAACCCUAUGAGUAUAAAUGUAUAUUUACCUCUUUAAUGGAAUAUUUUAGUCAUUUUGAUCCUUAGAGUCUAUAUUUGUGACCAAAACUUUUUUAGUGCUAUCCUAGGGUAUUUUUCUUUUGAUUAGGAUUGUAUUAAGUUCCACAACAUAAAAACAUUAAAUUUAAAAAUAAAUUUAAUAUUAAGACAACAAAUAACUUUAAUAAUGAUAAAAUAUAAUAUAUCUACCUCAUUAAACUAUUUUGUAACUAUUAGAUCAAACAAUGUUUAUUUUUAAA